UCAAUUGACCGCGCGAAAUUCUCCAGACGAGCGUACUUUUUUUUGAUCCGUUCAAAUGGUAACUUCAAUAGAAUCAAGGCAGUCCCGAUAUAGGCGCGACUCUGAACCAAACGCGGCGUUGAUUGAGCUUAAUGAAGGUUAAAAGUCUGUGCAUAAGCGGUAACCGUCUGCUCUAUGGUACAGUCUAAAAAUUUCAAUUACUAUUCAAAGUCCGGAACCGAUCCGAAUAGGAAACACCCGCCACGCUCAGCCUGCGUUCUCGAAUCUUUCUAAUAAGAGAGAACCACGUUGUCUCCUAUCUUUUGGGAAUGAAAACGAAACACGGCAACAGUCGAAAAAUUUCGAUCGGGGGAGCAGACAGUUCGCCGGACCAAUCCGGCUAAAAAAUCGUACACUCGAUCCGGAGGACGCGCGUGCGGCGCAUACAGUAUGCAGAGAGCAGCGUCUCGAAUAAAACAACCAAAGAGAUAUCUGUCGCCGCAAUGCGCGCUCGAUUCGUCGAUGAUGCAGCUUCCUCAUUCAUCUACCGGCGGGUCCGGCGAGUGAAACGUCGGACGUUCGUCGGGGAAAAACAUUGUCGGAUGUCGCGAGAAAUUGUCGGAUAGGUUGUGCGGCUGCAGGGGGGAGUGGAGAAGUUUGGAUGAUCGAUGUGCCGACGUUACUCACUUUGACGACUUCGAAAAGAUAAUACACGCAGAAUCCGAAGCCCAGCAGCGCCCCGUAGUAGACCGUCGGGAUGUCGAGGAGUGGCUCGAGCAUGUUCUCCAUCGCUGUAACUCUAUCGAUACGUCCGACAGACUGCGGGCAAUCUUGCGACGUGAACGCGCCGGUGUGUCCGCCAGGUCCGUUGACAAUCCUUGCCCGUCGGAUGCCGGUAGCCAACAACCGAUCGCCGACGGUUUCGCAGAGAGCCGCGCGUCCACGCGCAUGACGUUCAAAUAAUUGGACGGCCAACUAGCUUACUAGCAUUACGAGCGACCGAUAGCCGAUAGUCGCCGAGACUAUACAGAUGUUCGCUAUAGAUACACCGAGGAUUCGGUCACGUGCGCACGAGCGGAUCCGCUCCCACACUUAUGAACUGGCUCUCUUGUCCACGCUACCAGCCCACAUCGAUACGAGAGAGAGAGAGAGAGAGAGAGAGAGAGAGAGAGAGAGAGAGAGGGAGACAGAGAGAGAGAGAGAGAGAGAGAGAGAGAGACGCGUCUUCCGUCUCUCUUCCUCUCUCGACUCUCCUCUCUUUACGCCCCCUGGGUUGCGUCUCCGUGACAGAGUUAUGUAACGACGACGGCGUGAACUUUUGUAUCGGCACUCUGUGGUAAUGCAGCUGCACUUGUUUCGGCCAAUCCACGUCAAACGGUGCAAAUGCGGUCAUCGAGGGCCCACGGUGAUCGUUUCUGCAGGGAUUAGACGGUCACCGAUAAUAAUAAAAUGUACCGUUAAUCCUC